rnacentral:rRNA from 1 species
AUACGUAGGGUGCAAGCGUUAAUCGGAAUUACUGGGCGUAAAGCGUGCGCAGGCGGUUUUGUAAGACAGAGGUGAAAUCCCCGGGCUCAACCUGGGAAAUUCCUUUGUGACUGCCAGGCUAGAGUACGGCAGAGGGGGAUGGAAUUCCGCGUGUAGCAGUGAAAUGCGUAGAUAUGCGGAGGAACACCGAUGGCGAAGGCGAUCCCCGGGGCCGGAACUAACGCCCAUGCACGAACGCGUAGCGAGCAAACAGGGUUAGAUACCCUGUUAGUCCACGCCCUAACGGAUGUCAACUGGUUGUUGGGUAUUCAUUGACUCAGUAACGAAGCUAACGCGUGAAGUUGACCGCCUGGGGAGUACGGCCGCAAGGUUGAAGCGCAAAUGAAUUGGCUGGG